rnacentral:rRNA from 1 species
GACGAACGCUGGCGGCGUGCUUAACACAUGCAAGUCGAACGGAAAGGCCCUUUGGGGGUACUCGAGUGGCGAACGGGUGAGGAACACGUGAGUAACCUGCCCUUGACUUCGGGAUAACUUCAGGAAACUGGGGCUAAUACCGGAUAGGAAUCCUUGCUGCAUGGGGGGGGGUGGAAAGCUUCGGCGGUUUUGGAUGGACUCGCGGCGUAUCAGCUUGUUGGUGGGGUAGUGGCUUACCAAGGCUUUGACGGGUAGCCGGCCUGAGAGGGCGAACGGGCACAUUGGGACUGAGAUACGGCCCAGACUCCUACGGGAGGCAGCAGUGGGGAAUAUUGCACCAUGGGCGGAAGCCUGAUGCAGCAACGCCGCGUGCGGGAUGACGGCCUUCGGGUUGUAAACCGCUUUCAGCAGGGGCGAAGCUUGUGGUGACGGUACCUGCAGAAGAAGCACCGGCUAACUACGUG